AUUAGAGAAUCAUUGAGACGAUGUGGGAUAUCUGAAAGCUCUACUUACAUUCUAGCUGCCCGGUUCAAUGCUUCUCCCCUUGAGAUGGAGGAGGUAGCGAAGUUGAUCAGCGGGAAGGAAAUUGACUUGGAGGAAUUGAAGACGAAAGCCAAUCAAGCCAAUAUUUUAAAGCAUUACAAGAUAACUAGCCAAGAACUUGGGAUAUCCUCUCUCGGAGAUGCCAUUGUUUCCACUUUCCAGGAUCGCUGCACGCGACGCUUUGUAAAUGAAGACGUCUUUCUUUCUUUGUGUUCUUUCCUUUGCCACUAAUUAUAGUUUUUUUUUUGUCUCAGUUAUAAGUUAACCUCUUUA